rnacentral:rRNA from 1 species
AUGAAAGUACGUUUUCACCCUCGGGUGACAGGGAGACAGGUGGUGCAUGGUUGUCGUCAGCUCGUGUCGUGAGAUGUUGGGUUAAGUCCCGCAACGAGCGCAACCCCUACGUUUAGUUGCUAACGCGUGAAGGCGAGCACUCUAGACGAACUGCCGUUGACAAACCGGAGGAAGGUGGGGAUGACGUCAAGUCCUCAUGGCCUUUAUGACCAGGGCUACACACGUACUACAAUGGCCGGUACAAAGGGCAGCGACACAGCGAUGUGAAGCGAAUCCCGAAAAGCCGGUCUCAGUCCGGAUUGGAGUCUGCAACUCGACUCCAUGAAGUUGGAAUCGCUAGUAAUCGCGGAUCAGCACGCCGCGGUGAAUACGUUCCCGGGCCUU